rnacentral:lncRNA from 1 species
AGUAGUGUGGGGUUGAAUAAUUUUGUUUGUAAUAUUUCAGAAGUUGGUAGAAAAAGAAAAUAAAAAUAGAAAAGAAAAAAAGUGAAUGAAUUUUUUUUGAAUGAAGUAUACAUGUCAAUACAUACUCCUUAUGAAAAGAAAAAAAAAAGAGAAAGGAGAAGAAAAAUAUGAAUGAAAACAGUUAUUAUAGAGUUGUUGAAGUGAAUGAAAUAUUUUAUAAAUUCAACUCCCGCGGUUUCUU